UGCAACCAUAACAGCUGUUAGACAUAGCAACAGGGAUAUUCUGGCAGUGUGUCUGGCUAGCAUUAGUUCUGAAUACGGUUGUGGUUUUGAUCACUAAAAUGGCUGUGACUUUUGGACUCUCUUUGAGUGUUUCUUUGCUUUGUUGCCUGCUAAUUGGAGGGAUAAAGUGUUUUCCACUUCAAGGUGAUGCUUAUGGGCAUCCUGCAUGCACUGGACCUGAACCAUCUGGAUCCCAAGCAAGUGUGGUGUCUGUUCCAAAUGCUAAAGCUACUGGCACCAAUACUCUGGCAAGUGUGACGCCGGGACAAAUGCCUCAGCUGUAGCAACUGCCAACCAUGCCUCAGCAGAAGCGGCUGGCCCCAGCGCCUCAGCUGGAGCAACUGCCAACCAUGCCUCAGCAGAAGCGGCUGGCCCCUGCGCUUCAGCUGGAGCAACUGCCAACCAUGCCUCAGCAGAAGCGGCCGCCGGCCCCCGAGCCUCUGCGGAAGCGGCCCGCGCCUCAGCUGUAGCAACUGCCAACCAUAGCUCUGCAGAAGCGGCUGGCCCCCGCGCCUCAGCUGGAGCAACUGCCAACCAAGAAGCGGCCCACACCUCAGCUGAAGCAACUGCCAACCAUGCCUCAGCAGAAGCGGCCCGCGCCUCAGCUGGAGCAACUGCCAACCAUAGCUCUGCAGAAGCGGCUGGCCCCGCGCCUCAGCUGGAGCAACUGCCAACCAAGAAGCGGCCCGCACCUCAGCUGAAGCAACUGCCAACCAUACCUCUAUGGAAGUGGCCCGCGCCUCAGCUGGAGCAACUGCCAGCCAUGCCUCAGCAGAAGCGGCUGGCCCCCGCGCCUCAGCUGGAGCAACUGCCAACCAUGCCUCAGCAGAAGCGGCUGGCCCCCGCGCCUCAGCUGGAGCAACUGCCAACCAUGCCUCAGCAGAAGCGGCUGGCCCCCGCGCCUCAGCUGGAGCAACUGCCAACCAUGCCUCAGCAGAAGCGGCCCCCGGCCCCCGAGCCUCUGCGGAAGCGGCCCGCGCCUCAGCUGAAGCAACUGCCAACCAUGCCUCUAUGGAAGUGGCCCGCGCCUCAGCUGGAGCAACUGCCAGCCAUGCCUCAGCAGAAGCAGCUGGCCCCCGCGCCUCAGCUGGAGCAACUGCCAACCAUACCUCAGCAGAAGCGGCCGCCGGCUCCCGUGCCUCUGCUGCAGCGGUAGCCGGCCUUGAUCAGACUGCCCGACCCCUCAACAAGCUAGAUGGGCAAACCAAAUUAUGAUCUCCCUAACUCCUUAAUCGUCUUUCCCCUGUUACUGUGCCUCCAUUUGAAGAAAAGGGCAAAGGUAACUGAGGUGAGGAAUUGUGCAAACUAAUGCACUUGUUUGAAAUGUGGAUCUCCUUCACUUGCGCAUCGUUAUGCAAAUUGUUUACAGGGGUGAACACUACAAUGGUAUGAAUUAUUUUCAAAAUCAUACGACUAAAAUUUACAUCUGAUUUGGCCACCAUUGCUGACACUUAGGUUGUACGGUUAUGAUUUUGAUUUGUCCUGGUGUUCCUGCUACUCUUACAUGAUUUGUUCAAUAAACAAUUUACUUCAAAUGCCUUGUCUUUCAAAUGUGGGUUCUCUUCUGUCUACCAUACGUUUGCUGAUUAGGGACAGACUGGGUCUGGAGAAAAAGGGAUUGUGGAUCACACCACUUGUGUAAACAGAUUUGUUUUCCUUUGUUUCUGGUAGUUGAGGAAAGGUUGACUG
ensembl:lncRNA